AUGACUCCCAGCAGCUGCUGCGACUUUUAGGCAAGAGCAGAAAUUCCCAGUCUUUCCAAGUAUAUGGACCAAUUUCGUUGCUUAAGUAACAACGGAGCUCCUGAUAUUAGCGUUUGUCGUUUUAGUGUUAUUUGUUGAAAAACAAUCAUAGAAAUCUACCAUGUAUGUAAUAACUUUUAAAGUCUAUUUGAUGAUAUUGAACCCAACACUUUCUCGUUAGUGAGGAGUUGAAGAUCCCAUGGGUAGCACCUCCUCCACGACUGAGACCACAUACUCCUGACUGAAGGGUGACCCAUGGAGCUGGAAGCUGCUAAAAGGAAAGCUAAGACUCUGUCAUCUACAAGCCACUGAGAGCCUGUCGGUCUCUCAAUGAUCAGAAAGGAAUCUCUGAAGGGUAAUAACAUGUUGCCUGUGCAGAAGGAAAUGUUUUCUAGUCUCAUCAGCUGAGAUUCCAGAGCAGAGUCAAUGCACAAUGAAUAACUGUUAAUGACAAUAAAGCUAUGAAUAUGUAAAA